GACGAACGCUGGCGGCGUGCUUAACACAUGCAAGUCGAACGGAAAGGCCCCUUUGGGGGUACUCGAGUGGCGAACGGGUGAGUAACACGUCAGUAACCUGCCCUUGACUUCGGGAUAACUUCCGGAAACUGGGGCUAAUACCGGAUAGGAAUCCUUGCUGCAUGGUGGGGGUUGGAAAGCUUCGGCGGUUUUGGAUGGACUCGCGGCUUAUCAGCUUGUUGGUGGGGUAGUGGCUUACCAAGGCUUUGACGGGUAGCCGGCCUGAGAGGGCGACCGGCCACAUUGGGACUGAGAUACGGCCCAGACUCCUACGGGAGGCAGCAGUGGGGAAUCUUGCACAAUGGGCGGAAGCCUGAUGCAGCAACGCCGCGUGCGGGAUGACGGCCUUCGGGUUGUAAACCGCUUUCAGCAGGGGCGAAGCUUGUGGUGACGGUACCUGCAGAAGAAGCACCGGCUAACUACGUG
rnacentral:rRNA from 1 species